CGGACGGGUGAGUAACGCGUGGGGAACCUGCCCUGUACCGGGGGAUAGCAGCCGGAAACGGCUGAUAAUACCGCAUAAGCGCACGAAUGUCGCAUGACAUGGUGUGAAAAACUCCGGUGGUAUAGGAUGGACCCGCGUCUGAUUAGCCAGUUGGUGGGGUAAAAGCCUACCAAAGCUAAGAUCAGUAGCCGAGUUGAGAGACUGACCGGCCACAUUGGGACUGAGACACGGCCCAGACUCCUACGGGAGGCAGCAGCU
rnacentral:rRNA from 1 species